rfam:Gossypium raimondii Chr07_contig_1302, whole genome shotgun sequence.
UGUUAAAAAUUUAAUCAAUUUCAACUAUUAAAAACUAACAUGACUGAUAGAAUAAUCAAAUAGUGACAUAUGGCAUGUCACGUGUACCUUAUACUGACGUACAAGGACCUUUUUUAACAGUAGAAAUGAAAGAAAUUUUUAACA